ensembl:lncRNA
CAGUGAGGUUUUGUCGGUCGUCAUUUGAAGUCUGAAAGACAGACACAUAGUAGAGUGGCAAGAUGGAAGCUCCUGAGUAGAAGGCAUAUGACAUGCAGCCCAAAGGACUCAGCUGAAGGAUUCCCAAGUCUGAUGAGACCAAAUCAAACUAUGAGGCCUGAAUACUAAAUGCUACGUAUGGCAAGAACAAGGUGCAACAACUAUUAGAGCAACAAAAGGUCAUCCUGUCUAUCUCCCCUGUCCCACAAACAUUCAACCUGAUGAGGUGGUCCUUUUUAAAUGGACACAGUUUGGAGUUCCUGGAAUUUCUUGCGAAUAUACAAUUAAUAAAAACUACACUGAAAACCAAAAAUGUAAACCAGAAUUCAACAUCAGGGGACAACCUCCCAGACUGUAUGUUGAAAACCCAGGGAGUAGCGAUUCUGGUCUUUACAUUUGUUUCACAACAAGAAUAGUGCCGCCACCCACCAUCGAGUUAAAUUACACAGUUGAUCUUCAAGUUACUGGCCCUCCAAAUAUAGUCCUAAAGAAGCAGAAGAGAAAUACUACCUGCGUUGAACUGCUUUGUAGUACAGAGUACCUUGACCCUGAGGAGGUCAAAUUUACAUGGAACCGAACACGUCAGGGAUUACCAGAGACACUGUUGACCACAAAAAGCCUCUUCUAUAUGAACAGCUCUCUGCCACUGUGUCAAUCCGACUGGAGAGAGGGCGACAUAUUCACCUGCAUUGUCAACCGCUUAGUCAAUGACACCAACCUGAGCGAGGAAAUCAGAAUAGACUGCAGUGAAAUAGAAACCUGCCGUUGGAACCCCACUCCUUUGGUCAUCAUCUGUGUGAGCUCACUCAUUGGGGUAGCAGCCAUCACAGCAGUAACCCUAACCAUUUAUAAAUGAAUGUGGUUGACUGUCUGUACGAUGUUCCCUACCCCCGUGACAAUAAACACCUGGGGCAGGAAGGAUAAGGUGGGGGGGACAGUCGGUCCUUUGGGUAAAACCUAUGUGACAUAAGAGAGCAGGGCAGUAUCUUACCAGAGCUCUUGUCAAUUGUAAUAAAUACUUUGACUGGACUGUGUUUCCUCGGAGAUUCCUCACAGGCCUGUUAUGAUGUGUCCUAAACCUCUCUCUAUUUGCAAAUAAACUUAAUCGUGCAA